AGAAUCAACGCUGGCGGCGUGCCUAACACAUGCAAGUCGAACGAGAAAGUGGAGCAAUCCACGAGUAAAGUGGCGCACGGGUGAGUAACACGUGACUAACCUACCCUGGAGUGGGGGAUAACUGAGGGAACCUUAGCUAAUACCGCAUAAUACCCACGGGUCAAAGGAGCAAUUCGCUUCAGGAGGGGUCGCGGCCGAUUAGUUAGUUGGCGGGGUAAUGGCCCACCAAGACGAUGAUCGGUA
rnacentral:rRNA from 1 species